GUGCUCGCUUUCGGCAGCACAUAUAAAAAUUGAACGAUACAGAGAAGAUAGGCAUUGGCCCCUGCGCAAGGAUGGACACGCAACUUCGUGAAUGCGUUCCUUAUUUU
rnacentral:snRNA from 1 species